AAAAAAUUGAGAUGUAAUUUGCUUACCAUAAAAUUCACCAUUUUAAAGUGUACAAUUCAGUGAAUUCUAGUAUAUUUAAACAUUGUGCAACCACCACCGCAAUCUAAUUCUAGAAUAGUCUCAUCAUCUUAAAAAGAAAUCCCAUGCCCUCCUUCCCCCGUCCCUGGCAACUACUAAUCCAUUUUCUGUCUCUCUGGAUUUGCUUAUUCUGGAAACACAAAUGCAGUCCUAAAAGACGUGACUUUUGUCCCUGACUUCUUUCACUUGGCGUAAUGUUUUCAAGGUUCGUCUAAGUUGUCUGUUACCUCUUUCAAUCCUCUUAACAACAACCUGUUAAACAGUACCAAACUGACUUCACCCUGGAGGAAAUGGAAACACAUGUUAACUUGCUCUUGGGCACGAGAAUCACACACUCAUUCAACAAAUAUGCAUGAAGCACCUGCACGGGCCAGACCUAUUCUGCCAGGUGAGGUUAUGGUACUUGGGGGUGUUGAUGGUGCCACAUAAACAAACAGAUACACAUCUAAUGUAAUCUUCAAUAGUCAGAUGUCCACUGAAGAGAAAUAAAGCAAAAGGAAUGAACAGGUAGUGUCGGGGUAUGACUUCGGGUAAAGCGGUCGGGGUGCAGCUCUCUGAGGAGGUACCAUUUGGGGGAGACCUGGAUGGAGGGAGGGAGGACCUCCCACAGAAGUCACUGCAGGCAGAGGGAUCAACAGCUGCAAAGGCUCUGAGGCAGGAGCGUGUUUGGUGGAGGAGCAGGGAAGCCCGUGUGACUCAGGGCAAUGAGAGCGGGGAGGAGGGGAGGGCGGAGGAGGCCGGAGCGUUGGCCUCAGGUGGGUGCAGCACAGCCCGCCUUGCACAGGGUGAUGGGGGGCUCUCAGGCGCCCGCAGGCAGCGUGGUGGAAGAAUGGGGCCCAUCUCCUCCCGCACACUUGCUUUGUCUCAGUGACAAAAAGAAAAAUCAUCACUGAGAGCGAGGAGGGUGGUGGCAUCAAAAUUAAGAAGGCGAAGAGAAUGCACGGCCUAGGCUGCUUGCUGGAGCUGCUUGGCAGCAGCGAGGAACCACCUGAAGUCUGUGGUGCAUUGCUUUCCAGUCGCAUUAAGCCACCAGAGGGCAACGCAAGGCGCAAGGCACGUGGGGAAGUGUUUUAACCCGCGCUGAGAUUUUGCCAAGUGAGGAGAACAACGGGAAAGGAGGGCAGGAGAGCUGAGGAUGUUCCCCAGGGAGGGAUUUUACAAAGACCACGCGGUCUAAUCUGGGAAGGCAGGAAGGGCGAGAUGGACUGAGGGUUGGUGGGAUUAAUGGGCUGCAGACUGGCUGCUGAGGGAGUGAGCUGGAAAACAGGAGGUGGUGUCUGGAGAGUUUGCAGCCACUGGUCACGACAAAGGCUAAUGGAGACUCUGGGACUGGGUGGCUUAGGUGGGUGGACGAUAAGAUUAUGAGAGAAGUUCCAGAAAAUGAUAGGCCAGGGUACUGGGCGGAUCCUUGCUGUGAAUCAUGAAGUCACCGAGAGUGAGGACAACGAGGAAAGUGGUGGGGAGGAGGAGAGAGGGAGGGAGAUGUUAGUGAGAACAGGGGAAGCGGCAGACGACCAUAAAGGCAGGGGCAGCGGGGCAGCGGGUGGGUGGUAUUUCAAAAGAGCCCUGCAUUUUCAGGAGGAGGGGGAAUACUGAUCCGGAGCUGGCAAAGCUGAGCAAAGUUCACCGUGAUUAGCAGCUGGGGGCGUGCGAUGGAUCAAGUGAGGACUGAACUAAGUCUAUCUGAGUUCAAACCAUUUCCAUGAUACCAUCUCAGGGUUUGGAAUUUAGUUCUUGGACCUCGAUUUCAACAUCCUCCUGUCAUCCCUGAAGUGUACACUAUUUGCCUGCCCCCAAAGUGGUUAAUAUGCUGAAGAGACUAGAUCCUCUGACCUGUCCUUUCCCCGGUCGGGAUUUCGUGGUUGCAUCCCCAUGGUGUUUCUAACGUGCUCCUCUGAUCUCCGUAACUCCUGGAAACUGGGAAGCAGAUCUUGAGGGUGAUCAGACUCCGGUUUCAUUUUUGGUAAGAAUCCUCAUACAUGGUGUUGUGUCCUUGAUCAGAGCCAUGUAACGUCGGUUGUCUGUUUCUCGCUUUGUGUUGUCAGUAGUCGCUGGUGACUCUGCCUAGGUCCAUUAUUAGAUCUGUUACUUCCUUAGGGCAAAAGCCCUCGAUGUUGUAUCAGAUCUUGUUACUGGAUGGACAGCUCUGAAAAAGGGCAAAUUCCCUUCAGUUGUGGCUACCCGGAGGUCUAAGUCAUUUAGGAAAGAUACAGGCUUUAUCGGUUCACUUUUUCAAGGGGUUUAUCUGAGAAACUUGUGGUUUUAAGGAUGCGUAGGUUUUGUCUUUAAGGUAUUUAAUUGUAGCUUGUCCUACUUUAGAAUUAGACAUUUACAGGAUGCAGUUUCACAUGUGACUUAAUACUCCCAGUUAAAUGGGAAUAUAUUACAGGAUUUAGUUCUAACGCUCUUGAAAGGGCUGCACUGAGAAGGAACGCACAUGUUCAAGAAGCAGAUUUCCAAUGCUCAGCUGCAUUUCACAGAAGCUCCUAAAAUAUUACAAUCUCUCCUGAAAGGCGACCAACUAAACAUCUGAGAGCAAAGGUUCAGGUCCAUGCA
rnacentral:lncRNA from 1 species